UGUUACAGAUUAGUGCAUAUCGAGAGCUCAGUUUCUUACUGCUGACUGUGCAAGACAUCAAUUGGAAUUAAUACAGCCGAAACCUACAUGGUUUGCCCGCCCCCCAGGAAAAUAUGGUCACUGUAAGCAAAGGGCAAUGGAGACCAGUAGGCAUCUUUGUUUGAUUCUGGACUCCGUGUCUUUGCCAAGAUGGUCUUUGGCAGCGUGUCAAAGGAG